rnacentral:misc_RNA from 1 species
GGAAGUAAAAGCGUAACAAGGUUUCCGUAGGUGAACCUGCGGAAGGAUCAUUAUUGUAUAACCGAGGUGCGAGGGCUGUCGCUGACCCGAAAGGUCGUGCACGCCCGAGUGCCCUCACACACAUCCAUCUCACCCCUAUGUGCACCACCGCGUGGGACCCCCUUUGGCUUGUUCGGAGGGGGGCUUACGUUUUCACACAAACUUUGUAUGCAGUGUAGAAUGUAUUUUUUGUUUUUGCGAUCACGCAAUCAAUACAACUUUCAACAACGGAUCUCUUGGCUCUC